rnacentral:rRNA from 1 species
GACGAACGCUGGCGGCGUGCUUAACACAUGCAAGUCGAGCGGUAAGGCCCUUCGGGGUCCACGAGCGGCGAACGGGUGAGUAACACGUGAGUAAUCUGCCCAUCACUUCGGGAUAACUCCGGGAAACCGGUGCUAAUACCGAAUAUGACCACUUCAGGCAUCUGAUGGUGGUGGAAAGUUCCGGCGGUGAUGGAUGAGCUCGCGGCCUAUCAGCUUGUUGGGGGGGUAGUGGCCUACCAAGGCUUCGACGGGUAGCCGGCCUGGGGGGGUGACCGGCCACACGGGGACUGGGACACGGCCCAGACUCCUACGGGAGGAAGCAGUGGGGAAUAUUGGACAAUGGGCGAAAGCCUGAUCCAGCAACGCCGCGUGGGGGAUGACGGCCUUCGGGUUGUAAACCUCUUUCAGCAGGGACGAAGCGCAAGUGACGGUACCGGCAGAAGAAGCACCGGCCAACUACGU